CCUACGGGAGGCAGCAGUGGGGAAUUUUGCGCAAUGGGGGCAACCCUGACGCAGCAACGCCGCGUGAGUGAUGAAGGCCUUCGGGUCGUAAAGCUCUGUCAGAGGGGAAGAAAUGCAGGUGGUGAACAACCAUUCUGUUUGACGGUGCCCUCAAAGGAAGCACCGGCUAACUCCGUGCCAGCAGCCGCGGUAAUACGGAGGGUGCGAGCGUUGUUCGGAAUUAUUGGGCGUAAAGCGCGUGUAGGCGGUUUGUUAAGUCUGAGGUAAAAGCCCCGGGCUAAACCGGGGAAGUGCAUUGGAUACUGGCAGACUUGAGUACGGGAGAGGAGAGUGGAAUUCCCAGUGUAGGAGUAAAAUACGUAGAUAUUGGGAGGAAAAACGUUGGCGAGGGCGGCUCUCGGGACCGAUACUGACGCUG
rnacentral:rRNA from 1 species